rnacentral:ncRNA from 1 species
UUGCUGGCCAACGGCAGGGUCUGAAGGAAGCCAUAGGAAGUCAGAGGUACACAGCGCAAGCGAACCUGAUUCGGCAGGUUGGGUGCGGUAAGCGUGCAAAAUAGCGCAAAGCCCGAUACUCAGUCAGUCCCAACUCUGUGUUUGAGGGUGGCAUCUCUGGCAGGAAACCGUU